GGGCAUAGUUCAGUGGUAGAAUGUCUGCUUCCCAAGCAGAAGAUCGCCGGUUCGAGUCCGGUUGCCC
rnacentral:tRNA from 1 species